GAGGGUAUAGCUCAAGUGGUAGAGUACAUGCUUAGCAUGCGUGAGGUUCAGAGUUCAAUUCCUAGUACCUUCA
rnacentral:tRNA from 1 species